rnacentral:rRNA from 1 species
GAUGAACGCUGGCGGCGUGCCUAAUACAUGCAAGUCGAGCGAACGGACGAGGAGCUUGCUCCUCUGACGUUAGCGGCGGACGGGUGAGUAACACGUGGAUAACCUACCUAUAAGACUGGGAUAACUUCGGGAAACCGGAGCUAAUACCGGAUAAUAUAUUGAACCGCAUGGUUCAAUAGUGAAAGACGGUUUUGCUGUCUCUUAUAGAUGGAUCCGCGCCGCAUUAGCUAGUUGGUAAGGUAACGGCUUACCAAGGCAACUAUGGGUAGCCGACCUGAGAGGGUGAUCGCCCACAUUGGAACUGAGAAACGGCCCAGACUCCUACGGGAGGCAGCAGUAGGGAAUCUUCCGCAAUGGGCGAAAGCCUGACGGAGCAACGCCGCGUGAGUGAUGAUGGUCUUCGGAUCGUAAAACUCUGUUAUUAGGGAAGAACAAAUGUGUAAGUAACUAUGCACGUCUUGACGGUACCUAAUCAGAAAGCCACGGCUAACUACGUG